UACGGAGGGUGCAAGCGUUGUCCGGAUUUAUUGGGUUUAAAGGGUGCGUAGGCGGCUAUUUAAGUCAGUGGUGAAAUCCUUCAGCUUAACUGGAGAACUGCCAUUGAUACUGAAUAGCUUGAGUAUAGUUGAGGUAGGCGGAAUUGACAGUGUAGCGGUGAAAUGCUUAGAUAUUGUCAAGAACACCGAUUGCGAAGGCAGCUUACUAAACUAUAACUGACGCUGAGGCACGAAAGCGUGGGGAUCAAACAGGAUUAGAUACCCUGGUAGUCCACGCCGUAAACGAUGAUUACUCGCUGUUGGCGAUAGACAGCCAGCGGCCAAGCGAAAGCGUUAAGUAAUCCACCUGGGGAGUACGCUCGCAAGAGUGAA
rnacentral:rRNA from 1 species